CCAUGAAAGAAUACAUUUCUGCCUUAAGCUGCCUAGUUUGUGGUAGUUUGUUAUAACAUCCACAGAAACUAAUACAGAGCAUAAUGGUGGGAAGAGGUCAUUUGGAGUGGCAUUUAAAGUAAAUAGGGAGAAGAGGCUCCUUGAAUGGAAUGAUCAGGGAAAGUCUAUCUGAGAAAGCUAUAUUUAAGUGAGAUUUAACGAAUAAGAAGGUACUGACCAUUUGAAGAUAUUGAGGAAAGGAUUGCAAUCACAGGGAACAACAUAUGGGCAGGCUCUGAGAUGAGAAAAAGAUUCAUUUCUUCUAGGAACAGAAAAGAGGCAAAAAUUUCUGAAACAUGGCGAGCAAAGGAGAACAUGACUCAAGAAGAAAAUGGAGAGACUAAAGCAUGUCUGACCCUUUUGGGGGAAAAGGAACUGAAUUCCUCUACUCUGCAUUUGCAAGAGAACACUUCUGAAUAAUUCAUGGUUACAUAAAGAUGGAAAAGAUAUACAUCAUCUAGCUGAUUAUUAACAUAAUACAGCCAAAUGAAACAUUAUCCUAAAAAGUCAUUUAAUUGCAGCUGUGGAAAUCAGACUUUGAACAUUUUAGAAAGAAGUCAUAUUUGAGAUGUAAAUAAAUACAUUUCAGAAUUAU